rnacentral:tRNA from 2 species
CGGGGCGUGGCGCAGCCCGGCUAGCGCGCUUCAAUGGGGUUGAAGAGGUCGGCGGUUCAAAUCCGCCCGCCCCGA